rnacentral:misc_RNA from 1 species
GGCAGCGCAUGAUAGGAGAUCUCACGAUGGCCACUGGCACCGUGAAAUGGUUCAACACCACCAAAGGCUUCGGCUUCAUCGCUCCCGAUGGCGGCAGCAAGGACGUCUUCGUCCACAUCUCCGCCGUUGAGCGGUCGGGCCUGACCGGCCUGCGCGACGACCAGAAAGUUAGCUUCGACAUCGAGACCGGCCGUGAUGGUCGCGAGUCGGCUAUCAACCUGCAGCUCGCCUGAGUUGAAGAGCGGGCGCUUCGGCGCCUGUUCC